rnacentral:rRNA from 1 species
GGUUAAGCGACUAAGCGUACACGGUGGAUGCCCUGGCAGUCAGAGGCGAUGAAGGACGUGCUAAUCUGCGAUAAGCGUCGGUAAGGUGAUAUGAACCGUUAUAACCGGCGAUUUCCGAAUGGGGAAACCCAGUGUGAUUCGUCACACUAUCAUUAACUGAAUCCAUAGGUUAAUGAGGCGAACCGGGGGAACUGAAACAUCUAAGUACCCCGAGGAAAAGAAAUCAACCGAGAUUCCCCCAGUAGCGGCGAGCGAACGGGGAGCAGCCCAGAGCCUGAAUCAGUGUGUGUGUUAGUGGAAGCGUCUGGAAAGGCGCGCGAUACAGGGUGACAGCCCCGUACACAAAAAUGCACAUGCUGUGAGCUCGAUGAGUAGGGCGGGACACGUGGUAUCCUGUCUGAAUAUGGGGGGACCAUCCUCCAAGGCUAAAUACUCCUGACUGACCGAUAGUGAACCAGUACCGUGAGGGAAAGGCGAAAAGAACCCCGGCGAGGGGAGUGAAAAAGAACCUGAAACCGUGUACGUACAAGCAGUGGGAGCACGCUUAGGCGUGUGACUGCGUACCUUUUGUAUAAUGGGUCAGCGACUUAUAUUCUGUAGCAAGGUUAACCGAAUAGGGGAGCCGAAGGGAAACCGAGUCUUAACUGGGCGUUAAGUUGCAGGGUAUAGACCCGAAACCCGGUGAUCUAGCCAUGGGCAGGUUGAAGGUUGGGUAACACUAACUGGAGGACCGAACCGACUAAUGUUGAAAAAUUAGCGGAUGACUUGUGGCUGGGGGUGAAAGGCCAAUCAAACCGGGAGAUAGCUGGUUCUCCCCGAAAGCUAUUUAGGUAGCGCCUCGUGAAUUCAUCUCCGGGGGUAGAGCACUGUUUCGGCAAGGGGGUCAUCCCGACUUACCAACCCGAUGCAAACUGCGAAUACCGGAGAAUGUUAUCACGGGAGACACACGGCGGGUGCUAACGUCCGUCGUGAAGAGGGAAACAACCCAGACCGCCAGCUAAGGUCCCAAAGUCAUGGUUAAGUGGGAAACGAUGUGGGAAGGCCCAGACAGCCAGGAUGUUGGCUUAGAAGCAGCCAUCAUUUAAAGAAAGCGUAAUAGCUCACUGGUCGAGUCGGCCUGCGCGGAAGAUGUAACGGGGCUAAACCAUGCACCGAAGCUGCGGCAGCGACACUGUGUGUUGUUGGGUAGGGGAGCGUUCUGUAAGCCUGCGAAGGUGUGCUGUGAGGCAUGCUGGAGGUAUCAGAAGUGCGAAUGCUGACAUAAGUAACGAUAAAGCGGGUGAAAAGCCCGCUCGCCGGAAGACCAAGGGUUCCUGUCCAACGUUAAUCGGGGCAGGGUGAGUCGACCCCUAAGGCGAGGCCGAAAGGCGUAGUCGAUGGGAAACAGGUUAAUAUUCCUGUACUUGGUGUUACUGCGAAGGGGGGACGGAGAAGGCUAUGUUGGCCGGGCGACGGUUGUCCCGGUUUAAGCGUGUAGGCUGGUUUUCCAGGCAAAUCCGGAAAAUCAAGGCUGAGGCGUGAUGACGAGGCACUACGGUGCUGAAGCAACAAAUGCCCUGCUUCCAGGAAAAGCCUCUAAGCAUCAGGUAACAUCAAAUCGUACCCCAAACCGACACAGGUGGUCAGGUAGAGAAUACCAAGGCGCUUGAGAGAACUCGGGUGAAGGAACUAGGCAAAAUGGUGCCGUAACUUCGGGAGAAGGCACGCUGAUACGUAGGUGAAGUCCCUCGCGGAUGGAGCUGAAAUCAGUCGAAGAUACCAGCUGGCUGCAACUGUUUAUUAAAAACACAGCACUGUGCAAACACGAAAGUGGACGUAUACGGUGUGACGCCUGCCCGGUGCCGGAAGGUUAAUUGAUGGGGUCAGCGCAAGCGAAGCUCUUGAUCGAAGCCCCGGUAAACGGCGGCCGUAACUAUAACGGUCCUAAGGUAGCGAAAUUCCUUGUCGGGUAAGUUCCGACCUGCACGAAUGGCGUAAUGAUGGCCAGGCUGUCUCCACCCGAGACUCAGUGAAAUUGAACUCGCUGUGAAGAUGCAGUGUACCCGCGGCAAGACGGAAAGACCCCGUGAACCUUUACUAUAGCUUGACACUGAACAUUGAGCCUUGAUGUGUAGGAUAGGUGGGAGGCUUUGAAGUGUGGACGCCAGUCUGCAUGGAGCCGACCUUGAAAUACCACCCUUUAAUGUUUGAUGUUCUAACGUUGACCCGUAAUCCGGGUUGCGGACAGUGUCUGGUGGGUAGUUUGACUGGGGCGGUCUCCUCCUAAAGAGUAACGGAGGAGCACGAAGGUUGGCUAAUCCUGGUCGGACAUCAGGAGGUUAGUGCAAUGGCAUAAGCCAGCUUGACUGCGAGCGUGACGGCGCGAGCAGGUGCGAAAGCAGGUCAUAGUGAUCCGGUGGUUCUGAAUGGAAGGGCCAUCGCUCAACGGAUAAAAGGUACUCCGGGGAUAACAGGCUGAUACCGCCCAAGAGUUCAUAUCGACGGCGGUGUUUGGCACCUCGAUGUCGGCUCAUCACAUCCUGGGGCUGAAGUAGGUCCCAAGGGUAUGGCUGUUCGCCAUUUAAAGUGGUACGCGAGCUGGGUUUAGAACGUCGUGAGACAGUUCGGUCCCUA